UACGGGGGGGGCAAGCGUUGUUCGGAAUUACUGGGCGUAAAGGGCUCGUAGGCGGCCAACUAAGUCAGACGUGAAAUCCCUCGCUUAACCGGGGAACUGCGCCUGAUACUGGAUGGCUUGAAUCCGGGAGAGGGAUGCGGAAUUCCAGGUGUAGCGGUGAAAUGCGUAGAUAUCUGGAGGAACACCGGUGGCGAAGGCGGCAUCCUGGACCAACACUGACACUGAGGAGCGAAAGCCAGGGGAGCAAACGGG
rnacentral:rRNA from 1 species